rnacentral:rRNA from 1 species
ACACGACUACAUUAGAUACCCCGGUAGUCCUAGCCGUAAACGAUACUCGCUAGGUGUCGGCCACGGUGCGACCGUUGUCGGUGCCGUAGGGAAGCCGUGAAGCGAGCCACCUGGGAAGUACGGCCGCAAGGCUGAAACUUAAAGGAAUUGGCGGGGAGCACCACAACGGGUGGAGCUUGCGGUUUAAUUGGACUCAACGCCGGACAACUCACCAGGAGCGACGGUUACAUGAAGGCCAGGCUGAUGACCUUGCCUGAUUUUCCG